GAUGAACGCUGGCGGCGUGCCUAAUACAUGCAAGUCGAGCGAACAGACGAGGAGCUUGCUCCUCUGACGUUAGCGGCGGACGGUGAGUAACACGUGGAUAACCUACCUAUAAGACUGGGAUAACUUCGGGAAACCGGAGCUAAUACCGGAUAAUAUAUUGAACCGCAUGGUUCAAUAGUGAAAGACGGUUUUGCUGUCACUUAUAGAUGGAUCCGCGCCGCAUUAGCUAGUUGGUAAGGUAACGGCUUACCAAGGCGACGAUGCGUAGCCGACCUGAGAGGGUGAUCGGCCACACUGGAACUGAGACACGGUCCAGACUCCUACGGGAGGCAGCAGUAGGGAAUCUUCCGCAAUGGGCGAAAGCCUGACGGAGCAACGCCGCGUGAGUGAUGAAGGUCUUCGGAUCGUAAAACUCUGUUAUUAGGGAAGAACAAAUGUGUAAGUAACUAUGCACGUCUUGACGGUACCUAAUCAGAAAGCCACGGCUAACUACGUG
rnacentral:rRNA from 1 species